UACGUAGGGUGCAAGCGUUGUCCGGAAUUAUUGGGCGUAAAGAGCUCGUAGGCGGUUUGUCGCGUCUGCUGUGAAAACCCGGGGCUCAACUCCGGAUCUGCGGUGGGUACGGGCAGACUAGAGUGAUGUAGGGGAGACUGGAAUUCCUGGUGUAGCGGUGAAAUGCGCAGAUAUCAGGAGGAACACCGGUGGCGAAGGCGGUUCUCUGGGCAUUACCUGACGCUGAGGAGCGAAAGUGUGGGGAGCGAACAGG
rnacentral:rRNA from 1 species